AGGGCAAGUCUGGUGCCAGCAGCCGCGGUAAUUCCAGCUCCAAUAGCGUAUAUUAAAGUUGUUGCGGUUAAAAAGCUCGUAGUUGGAUCUCAGCUCACGCUAAGUGGUCCACCUAAUGGUGGUUACUACUUAGCUGAGCAUUUUACAGAUUUGUCUCUUGAUGCUCUUCACCGAGUGUCAAGAGUGGUCUGUACGUUUACUUUGAAAAAAUUAGAGUGCUUAAAGCAGGCAACUCGCCCGAAUAAUCUUGCAUGGAAUAAUGGAAUAGGACCUUGGUUCUAUUUUGUUGGUCUCCGGAAUCUGAGGUAAUGAUUAAGAGGGACAGACGGGGGCAUUCGUAUUGCGCCGCUAGAGGUGAAAUUCUUGGACCGGCGCAAGACGAACUACAGCGAAAGCAUUUGCCAAGAAUGUUUUCAUAAUCAAGAACGAAAGUAGAGUCGAAGGCGAUCAGAUACCGCCCUAGUUCUAACCAUAA
rnacentral:rRNA from 1 species